rnacentral:rRNA from 1 species
GGCAAACGGGUGAAGCUAACAUGGUAGGUAUCAUGCCCUUUGGCCUGGAAUAACACGGAGGAAACUUGUGCUAAUACCGGAUAAGUCUUUACGGAGAAAGCUUUAUGCACCAUUGGAUGAGCCUGCACUUGAUUAGUUUGUUGGUGGGGUAAUGGCCUACCAAGACUGUGAUCAAUAGCUGAUUUGAGAGGAUGAUCAGCCACAUUGGGACUGAGACACGGCCCAAACUCCUACGGGAGGCAGCAGUGGGGAAUCUUGCACAAUGGAGGAAACUCUGAUGCAGCGAUGCCGCGUGAGUGAAGAAGGCCCUUGGGUUGUAAAGCUCUUUCGUCGGGGAAGAAAAUGACUGUACCCGAAUAAGAAGGUCCGGCUAACUUCGUGCCAGCAGCCGCGGUAAUACGAAGGGACCUAGCGUAGUUCGGAAUUACUGGGCUUAAAGAGUUC